UGGGAACGUACCUUUUGGUUCGGAACAACCCAGGGAAACUUGGGCUAAUACCGAAUACGUCCGUAAGGAGAAAGAUUUAUCGCUGAAGGAUCGGCCCGCGUCUGAUUAGCUAGUUGGUGAGGUAACGGCUCACCAAGGCGACGAUCAGUAGCUGGUCUGAGAGGAUGAUCAGCCUCACUGGGACUGAGACACGGCCCAGACUCCUACGGGAGGCAG
rnacentral:rRNA from 1 species